CCAAUAGCGUAUAUUAAAGUUGUUGUGGUUAAAAAGCUCGUAGUUGAACCUUGGGCCUGGCUGGCCGGUCCGCCUCACCGCGUGUACUGGUCCGGCCGGGCCUUUCCCUCUGUGGAACCUCAUGCCCUUCACUGGGUGUGGCGGGGAAACAGGACUUUUACUUUGAAAAAAUUAGAGUGCUCCAGGCAGGCCUAUGCUCGAAUCCAUUAGCAUGGAAUAAUAAAAUAGGACGUGUGGUUCUAUUUUGUUGGUUUCUAGGACCGCCGUAAUGAUUAAUAGGGACAGUGGGGGGCAUCAGUAUUCAAUUGUCAGAGGUGAAAUUCUUGGAUUUAUUGAAGACUAACUACUGCGAAAGCAUUUGCCAAGGAUGUUUUCAUUAAUCAGGAACGAAAGUUAGGGGAUCGAAGACGAUCAGAUACCGUCGUAGUCUUAACCAUAAACUAUGCCGACUAGGGAUCGGACGAUGUUAUUUUUUGACGCGUUCGGCACCUUACG
rnacentral:rRNA from 1 species